AUGAACGCUGGCGGCGUGCCUAAUACAUGCAAGUCGAGCGAACAGACGAGGAGCUUGCUCCUCUGACGUUAGCGGCGGACGGGUGAGUAACACGUGGAUAACCUACCUAUAAGACUGGGAUAACUUCGGGAAACCGGAGCUAAUACCGGAUAACAUGUUGAACCGCAUGGUUCAACAGUGAAAGACGGUCUUGCUGUCACUUAUAGAUGGAUCCGCGCCGCAUUAGCUAGUUGGUAAGGUAACGGCUUACCAAGGCAACGAUGCGUAGCCGACCUGAGAGGGUGAUCGGCCACACUGGAACUGAGACACGGUCCAGACUCCUACGGGAGGCAGCAGUAGGGAAUCUUCCGCAAUGGGCGAAAGCCUGACGGAGCAACGCCGCGUGAGUGAAGAAGGUCUUCGGAUCGUAAAACUCUGUUAUUAGGGAAGAACAAAUGUGUAAGUAACUAUGCACGUCUUGUCGGUACCUAAUCAGAAAGCCACGGCUAACUACGUG
rnacentral:rRNA from 1 species